UACAGAGGUCUCAAGCGUUGUUCGGAUUCAUUGGGCGUAAAGGGUGCGUAGGUGGCGGGGCCAGUCAGGUGUGAAAUCCCGGGGCUUAACCCUGGAGCUGCAUUUGAUACUGCCUUGCUGGAGAACUGGAGAGGAGACUGGAAUUUACGGUGUAGCAGUGAGAUGCGUAGAGAUCGUAAGGAAGACCAGUGGCGAAGGCGAGUCUCUGGACAGUUACUGACACUGAGGCACGAAGGCCAGGGGAGCAAACGGG
rnacentral:rRNA from 1 species